rnacentral:rRNA from 1 species
CCRUGCAGUCSACGWGAGCCAGCUUGCUGGGUGGAUCAGUGGCGAACGGGUGAUUCACACGUGAGCAACCUGCCCCUGACUCUGGGAUAAGCGCUCCAUCUGGSGUCUAAUACUGGAUACGAACAACGGCCGCAUGGCCAGUUGUUGGAAAGAUUUUUUGGUUGGGGAUKGGAMUARCSGSCKAUCAGCUUKUUKGUKAGGUAAUGGCUCACCAAGGCGUCGACGGGUAGCCGGCCUGAGAGGGUGACCGGCCACACUGGGACUGAGACACGGCCCAGACUCCUACGGGAGGCAGCAGUGGGGAAUAUUGCACAAUGGGCGGAAGCCUGAUGCAGCAACGCCGCGUGAGGGAUGACGGCCUUCGGGUUGUAAACCUCUUUUAGCAGGGAAGAAGCGAAAGUGACGGUACCUGCAGAAAAAGCGCCGGCUAACUACGUGCCAGCAGCCGCGGUAAUACGUAGGGCGCAAGCGUUAUCCGGAAUUAUUGGGCGUAAAGAGCUCGUAGGCGGUUUGUCGCGUCUGCUGUGAAAUCCCGAGGCUCAACCUCGGGCCUGCAGUGGGUACGGGCAGACUAGAGUGCGGUAGGGGAGAUUGGAAUUCCUGGUGUAGCGGUGGAAUGCGCAGAUAUCAGAGGAACACCGAUGGCGAAGGCAGAUCUCUGGGCCGUAACUGACGCUGAGGAGCGAAAGGGUGGGGAGCAAACAGCUUAGAUACCCUGGYAGUCCACCCCGUAAACGUWGGGAACUAGUUGUGGGGUCCAUUCCACGGAUUCCGUGACGCAGCUACGCAUUAAGUUCCCGCCUGGGGGAGUACGCGCAGCUARAACUCAAUGAAUUGACUGGACSCGCACAGCGCGAGCAUGCGA